UGUGACCUCAAAUCAGGUAGGACUACCC
rnacentral:rRNA from 1 species